CACCAGCUCUGUGUAAAUCAAAUCAAUCACCAUUUACACCUCUACCUGCCCACCUACUGCUGAAUUGUUGUCCUUACGACUGCUAGAAGGACCCUAUUUUACACCAGGCCAUUGUUAAAUAGACACCAGCUGGAAUGCGGUUUUAACCAAUCAGCAUUCAGGAUUAGACCCACCCGUUGUAUAAUAACAUGUUAGUUAUAUUAGCUAUGCUGACUAUGACGUUACUUUAGCUAAUAUGGUGACAACGAUGUAGGCUGUUUGUAAAGGUUUGGCUUGGAAAGUGUUUUUUUCGCCUGGUCACAUACAGCUGAUUUGUUGUAAACUGAAGUCCACGAGCAAAUAGAAGAGAAGGAAUUCAACGAGAGUGAACUCUGUUUACGCGUGAUCAGGGGAUCUCUGCUGUUACGUGACACUUCCUACGGCUCCCAUGGGCUCUCAGAAGGCGGCAAAAAGCUGAAUCGUGGCUUUGCAGGCUCUGGCUGAAAAAAAGUAGCGCGUUUGGAUACUGGCUGAUCACAGUACUGUGCGACUCAGGCUCGUGCCCGAGUCGACCCCAUGCUUUAUUUUCUUUCGUCUUUUUACCUAAACGCAGAUUCCCGGUCGGAAUAUUAUCGCUUUUUUACGAGAAAAAUGGCAUAAAAAUUGAUUUUAAACAGCGGUUGACAUGCUUCGAAGUACGGUAAUGGAAUAUUUAGAAAUCUUUUGUCACGAAAUGCGCCAUGCUCGUGACCCUUAUUUACACUUCGGAUAGUGUCUUGAACGCACGAACAAAACGCUGCUAUUUGGAUAUAACAAUGGAUUAUUUUGAACCAAACCAACAUUUGUUAUUGAAGUAGCAGUACUGGGAGUGCAUUCUGACGAAGAACACCAAAGCACGCUCCAGCACUUCCUUGGACACCUGUCUUUGAGAGGGAGAACAUCUGUGGUAUGAUCCAAGGGCUGGAAGACCAGGCAGACUGGAGCACGGUGACCCAGGCCCCCAGCGGGCCCACCACGGAGUAAUCCAACAUGGGCAAAUGCACCG
rnacentral:lncRNA from 1 species